rnacentral:lncRNA from 1 species
UGUAAAGGCUAUUAUAUUAUUACUGAUGUUAUUAAAUAUUUAAUAUUAAUUUUUAAAAAAUUUAAUAAAAUUUUGAAUUAAUGGAUGUUAGUUGGGAUGUCAAUGGGUAUGGAUACCCGAACCCGAACCUGAACGAGCCGGAUUUACCUGAGCUAAACAGGUAUGGAUUCGGUUAUAGGUAUAGAAAAUAAAAACCGGACGGAUAUGGAUAUGGAUAUGAAUUUUAUAUUUACCCGAUCCGAACUCGAAUAAAUUAUAUAUAUAUACAUAAAUUUAUUUUUAUUUAUUUAUAUAAUAUAUAAAAUGUUUAAUAAUUUUUAUCUCUUAGAUUUUCAUUCAACGAUAUGGAUUUUUAAAACCUGCCGGGUUCGGGUGAGGGUUCGGAUUUCAAAUUUUUAGUCGGGUACGGAUAUUGGUAUGAAUUUUUAAAACCCGCCGGGUUUAGGUCUGGGUACGGAUUUUAAUUUGAUUUUCGGGUUCGGAUUUGAAUUUUUAAAAAUUCGACCCAAACCUGAGCCAUUGACAUCCCUAGAUGUGAGAUAUACACCCCGUA